CCUACGGGUGGCAGCAGUGGGGAAUAUUGGGCAAUGGGCGCAAGCCUGACCCAGCAACGCCGCGUGAAGGAAGAAGGCUUUCGGGUGGUAAACUUCUGUUCUGAGGGACGAAGAAAGUGACGGUACCUCAGGAAUAAGCCACGGCUAACUACGGGCCAGCAGCCGCGGUAAUACGUCGGUGGCAAGCGUUAUCCGGAUUUAUUGGGUGUAAAGGGCGGGUAGGCGGGAAAGAAAGUCAGAUGUGAAAACUCAGGGCUCAACCCUGUGCCUGCAUUUGAAACUGUUUGUCUUGAGUGCUGGAGAGGCAAUCGGAAUUCCGUGUGUAGCGGUGAAAUGCGUAGAUAUACGGAGGAACACCAGUGGCGAAGGCGGCUUGCUGGACAGUAACUGACGCUGAGGCGCGAAAGCGUGGGGAGCAAACAGGAUUAGAUACCCCUGUAGUC
rnacentral:rRNA from 1 species